CUCUCUCUACGCCAGUCCUUGUUUCUAGGAAACAGCGCUCCACACGCACCCAGCUUGCAGCGCCGCUCAACUGAUUCCUGAGGAUAGUUUCUAGAUGAGGUCUGAUUCCAGAGACCGUUUCUCCAUAAAGGAAGAGGAGAGAGAUACCAAAGGAAACACCUGGAAUCUGGGUCGUUUUAGGGAGUUGAAAGACAAAGGACAGAAACGUAAUUACUCAGAGGCGGGUCUGAUGAAGUCUCUCUAGAUGAGUAUGGAUUUUGGCACCCCAGGAAAGAGCACCCACGUUCCCUCCUUCCUUCUCUUACACUUUUUUUUUUUUAACGUGAUGGAGAUACUACCUGAGACUAGUGACAAGUUAUAUUAGAAGCUGCGCUAGAAGCACUCUUCACUAGUGACACUGAAUGCAUGCAAUAUAAGAGAACACAUAGCUCUUCCCUAGGGCUUGACUCAUCUUCUUCCAGGAAACAGGCUGGAAAGCGGCCACCCAGUGUCUAUCCCUUGUCCUGACCAUCUCUGGUGUAUGCACUCACCAGAUCCUCUUAUAUACCAGUUUGUCUUCUCUGGUAUGUUUACCUCAAGAAUAAUAUGACUGGCCGGACUCCCAGCACUCAGGAGGCAGAGGCAGGUGGAUCCCUGAGUUUGAGGUUAGCAUGGUCUACAGAGCGAGUUCCGGGACAGCCAGAGAACCCCUGCCUAAAACCAAGCAAACACAAUAAAGAAUAACAUGACUGUAGACUAUGAAAGCAAGAGGACCUUAAUUUGAGAAGGACUCCACACUUAAGAGACUUUGGAAUUUUACAGAGAUUUUUGGAUAUUUUAAACAAACUUUGAACUUUAAAAGAGACUUUGAAUGCUUUUAAAGAUACUGAAUUUGCUGUAUGGCGGUGGCGCACACCUUCAAUCCCAGCACUCAGAAGGCAAAGGCAGGUGGAUCUCUGUGAGUUCGAGGCCAGCCUGGUCUACAGAGUGAGAUCCAGGACAGGCACCAAAACUACACAGAGAAACCCUGUCUCAAAAAAACCAAAAAUUAGCCGGGCGGUGGUGGCGCACGCCUUUAAUCCCAGCACUCGGGAGGCAGAGCCAGGCGGAUCUCUGUGAGUUCGAGGCCAGCCUGGGCUACCAAGUGAGUCCCAGGAAAGGUGCAAAGCUACACAGAGAAACCCUGUCUCGAAAAACCAAAAAAAAAAAAAAAAAAAAAAAAAAACCAAAAAUUAAAAAAUAAACAAAUUACUUCUAAAAAGUAUUUUUAAUUAAAAAAAUAAAUAAAUAAAAGCAGGCUGGGGAAGCCAUGGGGAACAAGCCACUAAGCGCUCCUCCAUGGCCUCUGCUUCAGUUCCCGCCUCUAAGUUCCUCUGCUGAGCUCCUGCUCCUGCUCUGACUUCCCUCGGUGAUGGACUGUAGAAUCUGUGAGGUGUAAUAAACCCUUUCCUGCGCUGGU